rnacentral:rRNA from 1 species
GAUGAACGCUGGCGGCGUGCCUAAUACAUGCAAGUCGAGCGAACGGACGAGAAGCUUGCUUCUCUGAUGUUAGCGGCGGACGGGUGAGUAACACGUGGAUAACCUACCUAUAAGACUGGGAUAACUUCGGGAAACCGGAGCUAAUACCGGAUAAUAUUUUGAACCGCAUGGUUCAAAAGUGAAAGACGGUCUUGCUGUCACUUAUAGAUGGAUCCGCGCUGCAUUAGCUAGUUGGUAAGGUAACGGCUUACCAAGGCAACGAUGCAUAGCCGACCUGGGAGGGGAAUCGGCCACACUGGAACUGAAACACGGUCCAGACUCCUACGGGAAGCAGCAGUAGGGAAUCUUCCGCAAUGGGCGAAAGCCUGACGGAGCAACGCCGCGUGAGUGAUGAAGGUCUUCGGAUCGUAAAACUCUGUUAUUAGGGAAGAACAUAUGUGUAAGUAACUGUGCACAUCUUGACGGUACCUAAUCAGAAAGCCACGGCUAACUACGUG